CAUGUCCAAGUAUAAGCACUUAUAUUGUGAAACUGCGAAUGGCUCAUUAAAUCAGUUAUCGUUUAUUUGAUAGUACCUUUACCUGGAUAACCGUGGUAAUUCUAGAGCUAAUACAUGCUAAAAACCCCGACUUCGGGAGGGGUGUAUUUAUUAGAUAAAAAACCAAUGCCCUCUGGGCUCCUUGGUGAUUCAUAAUAACUAAACGAAUCGCAUGGCCUUGCGCCGGCGAUGGUUCAUUCAAAUUUCUGCCCUAUCAACUUUCGAUUGUAAGAUAGAGGCUUACAAUGGUCUUAACGGGUAACGGAGAAUAAGGGUUCGGUUCCGGAGAGGGAGCCUGAGAAACGGCUACCACAUCCAAGGAAGGCAGCAGGCGCGCAAAUUACCCAAUGCUAAUUCAGCGAGGUAGUGACAAUAAAUACUGAUACGGGGCUCUUUCGGGUCUCGUAAUUGGAAUGAGUACAAUCUAAAUCCCUUAACGAGGAACAAUUGGAGGGCAAGUCUGGUGCCAGCAGCCGCGGUAAUUCCAGCUCCAAUAGCGUAUAUUAAAGUUGUUGCCGUUAAAAAGCUCGUAGUUGAACCUUGGACCUGGCUGAUCUGUCCUCCUCAUCGAGCGCACGGAUUCGGUCGGGUCUUUCCUUCUGGGGAACCCGAUGCCCUUUACUGGGUGUCGUGGGGAACCAGGACUUUUACCUUGAAAAAAUUAGAGUGUUCAAAGCAGGCCUUUGCUCGAAUACAUUAGCAUGGAAUAAUAAAAUAGGACAUCGGUUCUAUUUUGUUGGUUUCUAGGACCGCUGUAAUGAUUAAUAGGGAUAGUCGGGGGCGUCAGUAUUCAAUUGUCAGAGGUGAAAUUCUUGGAUUUAUUGAAGACUAACUACUGCGAAAGCAUUCGCCAAGGAUGUUUUCAUUAAUCAGUGAACGAAAGUUAGGGGAUCGAAGACGAUCAGAUACCGUCGUAGUCUUAACCAUAAACUAUGCCGACUAGGGAUCGGACGGUGGUUUUUUUAUGCCCCGUUCGGCACCUUACGAGAAAUCAAAGUUUUUGGGCUCGGGGGGGAGUAUGGUCGCAAGGCUGAAACUUAAAGAAAUUGACGGAAGGGCACCACCAGGCGUGGAGCCUGCGGCUUAAUUUGACUCAACACGGGGAAACUCACCAGGUCCAGACAUGCUUAGGAUUGACAGAUUGAUAGCUCUUUCUUGAUUGUAUGGGUGGUGGUGCAUGGCCGUUCUUAGUUGGUGGAGUGAUUUGUCUGCUUAAUUGCGAUAACGAACGAGACCUUGACCUGCUAAAUAGCCAGGUUGACUUNNNNNNNNNNNNNNNNNNNNNNNNNNNNNNNNNNNNNNNNNNNNNNNNNNCGAUUGAUGGCUCAGUGAGGCCUUGGGACUGGCUCAGAGAGGUCGGCAACGACCACUCAGAGCCGGAAACUUGGUCAAACUUGGUCAUUUAGAGGAAGUAAAAGUCGUAACAAGGUUUUGUCUUCUAAGUGGUGAAGAUGAUCAUUCUUUUAAUGAUCCUUCUACAGUAAAACUUACGGAAGCCUUUGCGUCCCGAAAGGGUCGGUCUCGUACGACUAUAAACAAAUAAUGACGAGCCAUAAUCGCAAGUCUGGCCUUUAGGGGCCGGGCAACACUGUCAAAUUGCGGGAACACCCUAAAGUCUCUUGCACUAAGCCAUGGCCGAAAGGCCAUGGUGGCCAGGGUAAUGCCCUCGGGUAAAGUCACAGCCAAGAGAAUAGAUCACCUGUCCUAGGUGUGAAAAUGGGCAAUCUGCAGCCAAGUCCUAAGGGCCACCGCCAACGUGGUGGCUACGGAUGCAGUUCACAGGCCAAAUGGUAGUGGGUGAGGCGAUGCCUUGCUUAAGAUAUGGUCGGGCCCCUUGGGAAACUUUGGGGAUAAUUUACUGAAUAACGCCGAUAACAUAAGAUGUCUUGAUGCCAUCUGCAAAAUUGGUGAAAGAACCGUUCCGUAGGUGAACCUGCGGAAGGAUCAUUA
rnacentral:ncRNA from 1 species